GGGUGCGAUCAUACCAGCACCAUUGCACCAGAUCCCAGGAGAACUCCGCAGUUAAGCGUGCUUAUGCGAGAGUAGUACUAGGAUGCGUGACCUCCUGGGAAGUCCUCGUGUUGCACCAC
rfam:Gossypium hirsutum cultivar TM-1 chromosome 13, whole genome shotgun sequence